GGUACCGUAGCUCAGAUGGUUAGAGCGUGGGACUCAUAAGCCCAAGGUCACUGGUUCGAUCCCAGUCGGUACUACCA
rnacentral:tRNA from 1 species